UUUACAUUUACUUAGUUAUUAAAUUGUACACGCCCUUUACUGUUCUCUCGCCUUUCUCCUUUUCAUUCACUAUAUAUUACAUAUGUUGAGCGUUAACUUAUUUUUUAUUUUAUUGGUAUGCCUUUUUGGUAUAGCAUACUCAUCAUCAUUGUCGGACGAUUAUCAAAAGGAAAUUUUUCUUUGCAACAUAAAACAGAAAAUUUACAAAAUAAAUUAAGUUCAUUUAGAGUUAAAAGAUAUGAUUUAGAUUCAACAUUUCAUAGUAACAAGUGUAUUUUAACAUAUGAUAAUGUAUGCAGCACCAGUAACUACGAACUUAAAAUUAAAAAUGGAUUGAGUAAUACUUUAGUCAAUGUGAUGUUAGUUCAAAAGAAAACAAGUGACAUUGUGUCAGUACACGCACAACAAGUAAGGUUUUCAUAUGAAGGAACCGCUUUGAUAAAAUUUGAUAAUAUUCCAUCGUUACAUUACAGUGUACGUAUAGAAACAACAAAUGUAAUGUACAACACAAAGGAUACUACAAUAGGUAUUGAUUGUUAUUGUCAAAUGUGUUCGAAUACCAAGUUGGAAAUAGUAUUAGAAAACAUGGAACAUGGAAUUAUUUAUAAAAUGGAAAAUGAUACAUCAAAUGAGUUAUUAUACCCACACAAUUAUUUUGUUCAUGGAAAAUAUUUAUUCAAUCAAUUUUUAUUAUUUCAGCAAAGCCAAAACAUCGAAACGAUAGAUAAUUACAAUGCGUUUUAUAGCAAUCAUUCAGAGUUAGUAUAUCCAUGUUCAGGGCUUAUAAUGGUACAUGCAGAUAAGUAUAAUAUACAUUAUGAUUUAAAUGAUGCAACUUGCUUUUAUGUUAGUUUAAUGAACAAGUUUUUAGAAAAGAUAAUUUCUAAUAACUAUGAUAUUGUAAAAUUUGAAAAUAACCACGUUUUGUUGUUAUUUAAUAAUAUGGGUGAAGGGAAUGAAGAUUUGGUAGUAAUAGAUGGUGAAAGUUCGAUUGCGUUACCACUAACAUAUAAUAAUGGAUAUUUUAAAGCAAGUAGCGAAUCAAGCGUAAAAAUAAUUCAUAUCAAUACUAAUUACAUAUUAAAUGAAGUAAAAUAUAUUUACAAGAAUAAUACUUAUAACAGAAUGGAAUAUGUGCAAAUGUUUCGAGCUUUUUCAAAGUUAUUUUUAAAUUAUUAUAAACUAUCACAUAAAGAGUUGUUACAAUACACAACAGGUUUGGUUUUUGAAAAGCCGGAUUGGCCAGAAGAAUCAGAAGAUACGAUGGCAUAUGAAAUGUAUGCAGA
rnacentral:lncRNA from 1 species